CCAAACCUAUCAAGACAGAGGCAAGAACACGAUAGCCAUUCAUUAAAUAUCACCCAAGUCCGGCAGCGUGCCCCAAGACUACAGAGUAUUCCUCCACACAUUCCAUUUCCUCGUUUUCCAAACGCUCAACGGACCGCUAGUAACGCCAUGACAAUGCGUCCUAACCUCGACCUGCCUGUUUAACAGGAUGUGUUUCAGAUGCCAUUCAGCCCUUGUUGGCUGCUCUGGUGUGUUGUACGACUGUAUUUACUCCCGCAAAAAGAAAAAAAAAUACUAAAACUAAAAUCGAAUAAAGCAUAAAUAAAAGGUAGAAUUAUCCUGAAGAGAAACUGUCAUUGCCUUUUACGUCGAAGGCAACAAUGAGGACGAGCUAAAUCAGUGCCACAACGCCCCACAGCACCAGGAGAUCGGGUUCAAAAGCUUUUCCAGAAAAUAUGGGGGGAAACAGGAAACAGAAACAAAGAAAAGCAUGGACCGGAAAAUAAAGGAUUAACUGAUGUAAGGUACCCCGAAAUGAUAGCUGCGAUUUAAGGUUCCUUCUUGGUUGUUUGUUUUCGGAAAUGUUUUAUUUCAACAUAUGAACCCUUUUUCUUGUUGUCUAGACCAGCAGAGCACAGAGAGUUCCUAGGGAACUAACCAGUUAUUCAAAUAAGAAUAGCCUUACGAGCCGAAUGGACGGGACAUCAAGUUCUUGAGAAUGCUUGCAAGGAACUGUUGCUUUUACUCCGCGGGCCAGGAAGUCGUCGACCCACUCAGCAAAGCGUCAGGUACUUUUUUGCUUUGGUUCGUUAGAAUUUUUCUCCUGACCGUGAUGGCUGGUUCUCAUGCUGGCCCAUGUCGAUGAUCUUACCAACUCCCAGGGUCCUGGUACUCUUGUAGAAAAACU
rnacentral:sRNA from 1 species